rnacentral:rRNA from 1 species
AACGAACGCUGGCGGCAUGCCUAACACAUCCAAGUCGAACGAAGCCUUCGGGCUUAGUGGCGCACGGGUGCGUAACGCGUGGGAAUCUGCCCUUGGGUUCGGAAUAACAGUUAGAAAUGACUGCUAAUACCGGAUGAUGUCUUCGGACCAAAGAUUUAUCGCCCAGGGAUGAGCCCGCGUAGGAUUAGGUAGUUGGUGGGGUAAUGGCCCACCAAGCCGACGAUCCUUAGCUGGUCUGAGAGGAUGAUCAGCCACACUGGGACUGAGACACGGCCCGGACCCCCACGGGAGGCAGGAGUGGGGAAUGUUGGACAAUGGGCGAAAGCCUGAUCCAGCAAUGCCGCGUGAGUGAUGAAGGCCUUAGGGUUGUAAAGCUCUUUUACCAGGGAUGAUAAUGACAGUACCUGGAGAAUAAGCUCCGGCUAACUCCGUGCCAGCCGCCGCCGUAACAC